GCGGCACUAGCGCGGUGGUCCCACCUGACCCCAUGCCGAACUCAGAAGUGAAACGCCGUAGCGCCGAUGGUAGUGUGGGGUCUCCCCAUGUGAGAGUAGGGAACUGCCAGGCA
rnacentral:rRNA from 1 species